UUUUUACAAUGAUGGUUCUACUAUGGAACCAGUUUGACAUGUUCAGGUGUUCUUUGUGUGAAAACUCAGACAUUUCAGGGAUCAGAAGGUGGUUUUCAACUUUCUUUGUAAACUUUCUGCUUCAACUUUAAAUUAAAUUUCCUUCACUAACCCCGCCCUCUGGACUUCCAGGAAGCUGUGUUCCUAUUGGCUGUCCAGGUGGCUGCUUGGUGUUAUCAGGAACACCUGAGCAGCUCAGUGUCUUCCUGCUUUAUUUAGCUGCAGACAAACAUUUCCUCUGCUUCUCUUCACCACUGAACCGGGUUUGACUCCUUUGCUUUAGUUUGUUCUUUAGGCGUUGGCUUGCAGCUUCCAGCAGUAAAAUCGUCUUUAGUGUGUUUCUUGGUGUGUUUUAGGGCUUUGUACUGGAUAGUUGUCUUGGUAAAUGUGGUUCUUUAGCCACAGUUAGCACAUGGUGCUAAUGUGUGCAGUGAUUAGUGGAUUUGGUGCAGCUGAGUUGUGUCUUUAUCUUGGCUGUAGUGAGUCUUUAGAGGUUUUUGGUCAGACACAUUCUGUAUUCUUGUUUGAGAACCAGCGUUGGUUGUCCAGAAGGUAAGAGUUCCUGUCCUGAUUCUCUGUUCUCAGAGGUUCUCUGGUAGGCUGCAGGAGACUUUAGCGUUUGGGUUGUACUAGUUUGGUUUUUGUAUGGUUUCAUUUGGAUGACUAUCUUGAGGCUCCUCCAUGUGGUUUAGUGAGGC
ensembl:lncRNA